AAUUUACAAUGAAGAGUUUGAUCCUGGCUCAGGAUGAACGCUAGCGAUAGGCCUAACACAUGCAAGUCGAG
rnacentral:rRNA from 1 species